rnacentral:rRNA from 1 species
UACGUAGGGAGCAAGCGUUGUCCGGAUUUAUUGGGCGUAAAGGGCUCGUAGGUGGCCAACUAAGUCGGACGUGAAAUCCCUCAGCUUAACUGGGGAACUGCGUCCGAUACUGGAUGGCUUGAGUUUGGGAGAGGGAUGCGGAAUUCCAGGUGUAGCGGUGAAAUGCGUAGAUAUCGGGAAGAACACCCGUGGCGAAGGCGGCUCUCUGGGACGGUACUGACGCUGAGACGCGAAAGCGUGGGGAGCGAACAGG